rnacentral:tRNA from 1 species
AAGACUUUAAGUUAACUAAAACUAAUAUCCUUCAAAGCUAUAAAUAAAGAGGAAAAUACCCUUUAAGUCUUA